rnacentral:misc_RNA from 1 species
UUCAACUAAUUUCAUUCAAUACUUCUCGUGUGAUUUAUUGUGUCUUUGAUUUCCUACAAAUGCGGGUCACUGGUCUAGUGGUUACUGUAAGGGGCUAAUGGGCCCAGUGGUUGUGGGUUCGAAUCCAACAGUAGGCAAGGAUGUCACUUUCUGUGUCCUUUCUUCUGUGUGACUGUAACCCUCCCUAUAAACGAGUUUGUGGUUGUAUGACGGGGGCGACGCUACCUGAUCACCGUGACUUAGUUACAGGUGUCCACCGGGUAACGGUAAGAGAGUAACAAUUCUGGUGUUUCUGAGGCCGAUGGAAAAUAGACCCAAGCGUCCGCCAUUAAAAGAAAAAGUUUUCAACAAAUAAAACCUGACACUGCAUUUAAUGACCUAAGGUGUUGUGUAUGCUUGUUGUCUGAGGAAUUGUUUUAUAAGUGUUUUUUUAUGCGCUCUUGAACAGCCAUUUGCUAAAACUUCACAAUUAAUGUAAAUGAGUUCACUUUCAGUAACAAACGAUAAAGAACUCGUUUCAAUUUCUGACUAAAAGAAUUUCAUCUUUAUAUCUUUCAUCCUGCAAUUAGUAAACAGUACAACACACUUCUGUAUAUAAAAAAUUGUAUUUUUUGAUUGCUGAACGAAUUCCGUUUCCGUAUCAUAUAUUAGAAUGUAUAUUCAGUUAUAAUUAUUUACGUAUUUUAGUAUCGUUUCCUGACACUGUAGGGCGCCCGUUGUCUUUUGAAAGAAUUAUUUGAGAGAGGCGCUGCUUAUUCCAGUUGAAUGUUGAACGAUUAUACAUAUUCGCAUGUUUAAUAACUCUUGGUAAGAAUAUGUUUAGAACAAUAUCUGAAUGCUACUUCCGUUCAUUCUGGUGGAUAAUAAUCCUGUCCAUCAACCUCCAAAUGAAUUCUGCAAUACGAGAACAAGGUGAACCACCAGUCAUAGUACCUUUCAGUUUUUCUGAAAAUUUGUCUGAAGGUGACAAUGCUAAAGUGCCCUGUGUCGUCACUAAAGGCGACUCCCCUCUGAAGUUUCGAUGGUUUUUGAAUAAUAAAGGAAUUCAAAAUGGAUCACAAUUUCACAUCAGUACCCAACCUGAUAUUUCAGUUCUUGUGGUAAAACAACUGACAGGACUCAGCAGUGGAAAUUUUACCUGUCAAGUAAAUAAUGCUGCAGGCAAAGACACGCACACCGCAUCAUUGGUGGUAAACGCUCCCCCGAAAUGGUUAAAAGAACCACAGAGUGUUGAAAUGGAGCUUGGAUCAGCAGUAACACUGGACUGUGCUGCAUCCGGCUAUCCGGAGCCCCGGAUCACGUGGUCGAGGAUAAAAGGCUCUUCAUCAGCCGACAUCCCGUUGACAGUUCGGAAUGGCUCCUUAUAUUUCAAUCCCCUUCUGAAUGAGCACAGAGGAGAUUAUGUCUGCGAGGCCCGAAACAGCGUAGGUUUAAAACUAAGAAAAACCAUAACCCUCUCUGUUCUGGGUGAGUCGACAAGGAAAUACCAUUUUAAACUUAUUUCCUUGUAUUUCGAGUAAUUUUAUUUUAGAUUUCCACCAAAUAAAACCUGUAUUUAAAGAUUUAUGGUGUCGUUUAUGUUUGUUAUCCAAGGAAAUGCUAUAUUACGUUAUGUUAUUUUAUAAGUGCUUGUACAAAAUUUUCUUGUUCGUACUGUAAAUAAAUUUCUUUGGUGCUCUAAAUGGACUAAUCAAAAGAGUUUAUAUACCAAAUGAAUAUUUCUAAGAGGAUCCCAUACUUUCUUUAUUAUAUGUUGAGUAAGCAGCAUGGUUUCUUCUUAAUAAAAAUAAUAAAUUGCAUUUUUAAAAUACAUCAAAAUAGUUCUUUUUCAGUAUUAUACAUUAAAAACUGGAUUAUAUGUGCAGUAAUAAUUAUAUACAAAUUUUAGUAUCGUUUCCUGACACUGUAGGGCGCCCGUUGUCUUUAAAAAGAAUUAUUCGAUGGAGGCGCUGUAUAUUCCAUUUGAACGUUGAACGAUAAAUAUUCAUAUGUAUGUUCAUAUAAAGAUGUUUAGAACACUAUCUAAAUACUACUUUCGAGCAUUCUGGGAGAUAAUUAUCCUGUAUAUCAACCUCCAAAUGAUUUUUGCUGUACAAAAACGAGAUUUUUCAAGGGAGUCGCCAGUCAUAAUGCCUUUUAGUUUUUCUGAAAAUUUGUCUGAAGGAGAUAAUGCUAAAGUGGCCUGCGUCGUCACUAAAGGUGACUCCCCU